rnacentral:rRNA from 1 species
CAGUAGCCGCGGUAAUACGUAGGUGGCAAGCGUUGUCCGGAAUUAUUGGGCGUAAAGGGCGCGCAGGCGGCUUCUUAAGUCUGUCUUAAAAGUGCGGGGCUUAACCCCGUGAUGGGAUGGAAACUGGGAAGCUCAGAGUAUCGGAGAGGAAAGCGGAAUUCCUAGUGUAGCGGUGAAAUGCGUAGAUAUUAGGAGGAACACCAGUGGCGAAAGCGGCUUUCUGGACGAAAACUGACGCUGAGGAGCGAAAGCGUGGGGAGCGAACAGGAUUAGAUACCCCAGUAGUCCCUGUCUCUUAUAC